rnacentral:rRNA from 1 species
UACGUAGGGUGCAAGCGUUAAUCGGAAUUACUGGGCGUAAAGCGUGCGCAGGCGGUUGUGCAAGACCGGUGUGAAAUCCCCGGGCUCAACCUGGGAACUGCAUUUGUGACUGCACGGCUAGAGUGUGUCAGAGGGGGGUAGAAUUCCACGUGUAGCAGUGAAAUGCGUAGAUAUGUGGAGGAAUACCGAUGGCGAAGGCAGCCCCCUGGGAUAACACUGACGCUCAUGCACGAAAGCGUGGGGAGCAAACAGG